GGUGAACGCUGGCCGCGUGCCUCAGACAUGCAUGUCGAGCGGGGCCGGUUUAUACCUGUUCAGCGGCGGACGGGUGAGUUCCGCGUGGGUGCCCUACCCGGAAGAGGCGGACAACCUGGGGAAACCCAGGCUAAUUCGCCAUGUGUUCCUGUCCUGUGGGGCAGGACUAAAGGGUGGAUAGCCCGCUUCCGGAUGGGCCCGCGUCUCAUCAGCUAGUUGGUGGGGUAAAGGCCCACCAAGGCGACGACGGGUAGCCGGUCUGAGAGGAUGGCCGGCCACAGGGGCACUGAGACACGGGCGCCACGCCUACGGGAGGCAGCAGUUAGGAAGCGUCCGCAAUGGACGGAAGUCUGACGGAGCGACGCCGCUUGGAGGAGGAAGCCCUUCGGGGUGUAAACUCCUGAACUGGGGACGAAAGCCCUGUGUAGGGGGAUGACGGUACCCAGGUAAUAGCGCCGGCCAAGUCCGUG
rnacentral:rRNA from 1 species